rnacentral:rRNA from 1 species
AACGAACGCUGGCGGCAUGCCUAACACAUGCAAGUCGAACGAAGCCUUCGGGCUUAGUGGCGCACGGGUGCGUAACGCGAGGGAAUCUGCCCUUGGGUUCGGAAUACCAGUUAGAAAUGACUGCUAAUACCGGAUGAUGUCAUCGGACCAAAGAUUUAUCGCCCAAGGAGGAGCCCGCGUAGGAUCAGGCAGUUGGUGGGGUAAUGGCCAACCAAGCCGCCGAUCCUUAGCUGGUCCGUGAGAAUGAUCAGCCACACUGGGACUGAGACACGGCCCAGACUGGUGCGGGAGGCAGCAGGGGGGAAUAUUGGACAAUGCGAAAAAGCCUAAUCCAGCAAUGCCGCGUGAGUGAUGAAGGCCUUAAGGGUGUAAAGCUCUUUUACCAGGGAUGAUAAUAACAGUACCUGGUGAAUGAGGACCGAGUAACUCCGUGCCAGCCGCCGCGGUAAAAC